GGUAGUUUGGCUGAGUGGUUAAGGCGAUACUUUGCUAAGGUAUUGGGGCAACCUGCAUGGGUUCGAAUCCCAUAGCUAUCG